GCCUUUUGACUAACCAUAAAAGGUCAAGCCUGCCCAGUGACAUUGUUCAACGGCCGCGGUAUCCUAACCGUGCGAAGGUAGCGUAAUCACUUGUCCUUUAAAUAAGGACUAGUAUGAAUGGCUUCACGAAAGCUAUACUGUCUCCUUUAUUUAAUCAGUAAAACUAAUCUCCCCGUGAAGAAGCGGGGAUACACCUAUAAGACGAGAAGACCCUGUGGAGCUUUAAACACUUUUAAACAUUUGAAUUUUAUUCUUAUUCUAUCUCAACUAAAUCACUCAUUUUGUUAUAAGUUUUAGGUUGGGGUGACCACGGAGAAUAAACAAACCUCCACGUAGAAAGAACCUUAUUUUCUAAGCAAAAAACCACAUUUUUAUGCAUCAAAAUAUUUGACCUAAAUUGACCCAAUUUUUUGAUCAACGAACCAAGUUACCCUAGGGAUAACAGCGCAAUCCGCUUUAAGAGCUCCUAUCGACAAGCGGGCUUACGACCUCGAUGUUGGAUCAG
rnacentral:rRNA from 1 species